GACGAACGCUGGCGGCGUGCCUAAUACAUGCAAGUAGAACGCUGAAGGAGGAGCUUGCUUCUCCGGAUGAGUUGCGAACGGGUGAGUAACGCGUAGGUAACCUGCCUGGUAGCGGGGGAUAACUAUUGGAAACGAUAGCUAAUACCGCAUAAGAGUAGAUGUUGCAUGACAUUUGCUUAAAAGGUGCAAUUGCAUCACUACCAGAUGGACCUGCGUUGUAUUAGCUAGUUGGUGGGGUAACGGCUUACCAAGGCGACGAUACAUAGCCGACCUGAGAGGGGGAUCGGCCACACUGGGACUGAGACACGGCCCAGACUCCUACGGGAGGCAGCAGUAGGGAAUCUUCGGCAAUGGACGGAAGUCUGACCGAGCAACGCCGCGUGAGUGAAGAAGGUUUUCGGAUCGUAAAGCUCUGUUGUAAGAGAAGAACGAGUGUGAGAGUGGAAAGUUCACACUGUGACGGUAUCUUACCAGAAAGGGACGGCUAACUACGUG
rnacentral:rRNA from 1 species